CGAUACUAGGCUACAAGAAAGGUAAAGUAACUGAGAUUGUAACUAGCAGAGCAAAUAAACUAAGGAAACAGACGAAAUUCUACCUAAGCAAAAGGUAAAACGAAAUAAGAAAAGCUUGAUGGCUCGAGUUUCUGGAGUUGUGUGUCUCUAAUGUCUUCUGUCGAUGCUUCUAUUUAUAUCGGCUGCUCUGUCAUUUGAACUGAUCUCUUGACUCUUUGAAGUUGAGUGGAAUUCGGCCUCCUCUUGGCUCAGUGACUCUAUCUUGAUUCGGCUUUAAUACUUACCGUCGGCUGACUUGACGCUGGACUCUAUCCGGAUCGGCUCUAAUGGUCGUCAUCAACGGCUGUAAUUAAUCCUGAAGUAGGAUAUCUUGGAUUGAACUCUCCUUAUCAGCUGACAUGAACUUCAAGUCGACUGAAAUACUACUUGAUCAAA
rnacentral:lncRNA from 1 species